GACGAACGCUGGCGGCGUGCUUAACACAUGCAAGUCGAACGGAAAGGCCCUGCUUUUGUGGGGUGCUCGAGUGGCGAACGGGUGAGUAACACGUGAGUAACCUGCCCUUGACUUUGGGAUAACUUCAGGAAACUGGGGCUAAUACCGGAUAGGAGCUCCUGCUGCAUGGUGGGGGUUGGAAAGUUUCGGCGGUUGGGGAUGGACUCGCGGCUUAUCAGCUUGUUGGUGGGGUAGUGGCUUACCAAGGCUUUGACGGGUAGCCGGCCUGAGAGGGUGACCGGCCACCUUGGGACUGAGAUACGGCCCAGACUCCUACGGGAGGCAGCAGUGGGGAAUAUUGCACAAUGGGCCGAAGCCUGAUGCAGCAACGCCGCGUUCGGGAAGACGGCCUUCGGGGUGUAAACCGCUUUCGCCUGUGACGAAGCGUGAGUGACGGUAAUGGGUAAAGAAGCACCGGCUAACUACGUG
rnacentral:rRNA from 1 species